rnacentral:rRNA from 1 species
AGUGAACGCUGGCGGUAGACCUAACACAUGCAAGUCGAACGGCAGCACAGUAAGAGCUUGCUCUUACGGGUGGCGAGUGGCGGACGGGUGAGGAAUACAUCGGAAUCUACUUUUUCGUGGGGGAUAACGUAGGGAAACUUACGCUAAUACCGCAUACGACCUACGGGUGAAAGCAGGGGAUCUUCGGACCUUGCGCGAUUGAAUGAGCGCAUGUCGGAUUAGCUAGUUGGCGGGGUAAAGGCCCACCAAGGCGACGAUCCGUAGCUGGUCUGAGAGGAUGAUCAGCCACACUGGAACUGAGACACGGUCCAGACUCCUACGGGAGGCAGCAGUGGGGAAUAUUGGACAAUGGGCGCAAGCCUGAUCCAGCCAUACCGCGUGGGUGAAGAAGGCCUUCGGGUUGUAAAGCCCUUUUGUUGGGAAAGAAAAGCAGCAGGUUAAUACCCCGCUGUUCUGACGGUACCCAAAGAAUAAGCACCGGCUAACUUCGUG